UGGCUGCCGAUCGCGCACGCGUCACUUCCGGCGGGCGGCGGAUAUAAGCGGCAGGAUUUCCGCUUUCGCUCCUUUCCGGCGGUGACGACCUCCCCACGAGAACAUGCCCCUCGCGAAGGAUCUCCUGCACCCGUCCCCGGAGGAGGA